AGAGGUUGAUCCUGGCUCAGGAUGAACGCUGGCGGCGUGCCUAAUACAUGCAAGUCGAGCGGAGGAGUAGCAAUACUUCUUAGCGGCGAACGGGUGAGUAACGCGUUGGUGACCUGCCCCGAAGUGUGGGAUAGCAGUUCGAAAGGACUGAUAAUACCGCAUGAAUUCCGAAAGAUUAGAAGCUUUUGGAGAAAGGAGAAAUUCGCUUCGGGAGGGGCCUGCGUCCCAUCAGCUAGUUGGUAAGGUAACGGCCUACCAAGGCGAUGACGGGUAGGGGACCUGAGAGGGUGGCCCCCCACAAUGGAACUGAAACACGGUCCAUACACCUACGGGUGGCAGCAGUAGGGAAUAUUGCAUAAUGGGCGAAAGCCUGAUGCAGCAACGCCGCGUGUGCGAUGAAGGCCUUCGGGUCGUAAAGCACUUUUUGGGAGGAUGAGGAGGACAGUACUCCCAGAAUAAGCCUCGGCUAACUACGUGCCAGCAGCCGCGGUAAAACGUAGGAGGCGAGCGUUAUCCGGAUUUACUGGGUGUAAAGCGUGUGCAGGCGGUACGGUAAGUUGGAUGUGAAAGCUCCUGGCUUAACUGGGAGAGGUCGUUCAAAACUACCGAACUUGAGUAUGGGAGAGGGAGGCGGAAUUCCGGGUGUAGUGGUGAAAUGCGUAGAUAUCCGGAGGAACACCAGUGGCGAAAGCGGCCUCCUGNCCCAAAACUGACGCUCAGACACGAAAGCUAGGGGAGCGAACGGGAUUAGAGACCCCGGUAGUCCUAGCUGUAAACGAUGUGAACUUGGCGUCGGCGGGUUUAACCGUCGGUGCCGAAGCAAACGCGAUAAGUUCACCACCUGGGGACUACGGCCGCAAGGUUAAA
rnacentral:rRNA from 1 species